CUGUAGCUCUUAUUUCCACAACUCCCUCAGAAUUCCUUUCAAAGUUUCCCAAUUUGGAAAAUGUUUGUCUAGGCAGAUACCUGGCUUUCCUCCACAGCAGAUCCAUAGAUGCCAAGGAAAAAGAAUCGUUGCUGUUGACAACUUCAUUCAGCCUCUCCUUAAGCAAGACUGCGAUGAUUCCCCACAGAUUUGGAGACCACAGGUUGGAAAGCACCGAACUAAACCUUUGACCAUCUUGCUGGGACACCGGAAGAUGGUCCCUCAUUACCCAGGGCCCACACAAAGAGGACGGCAAGGAGACAUCCUGGGAGGGACCCUGGACAUCAGGGGAGCCACAGGUGUUAACCAGAAGACCUAGAGUGUCCUGGAUACAAACAGCUGCCAUCUGUUGACCAUAUAUUGUUAUCUGUGGGUAUAGCACAGGUAAAUCUAUUAUAUAUACAUUAAGUGACAAUUAUGUGUACAUAACUGUGUAUACAUAUUGUGAUGUAUCCUUGCCCCAAAGCCCAUUUUUCCCAUAGAGUAAGUCUCAGGAAGGUUAAGUAACUUGUCCAUGGGCACAAUGAAGUACAUGAGGCUGGAGCUGGGAGGUUUUUUUUUUUUUUAAUUGCAAACUUCUAUUUUAUAUACUCCAGUCUCUACAGUUUCCAAUCUGUGAUCUAUUAAUUGGUGCUGGAUUGGCCACACAAGAGGCCCAUAGGAAGCAAAGUAAAUAAACAUUAAUUCCCAGUGAUUUCUUAUUAGUAGGCCCAGGAGGGACCUAGGAACCCGUGAUUUUAAAUGUUGUCAAGGUGAUUCAGCUGUGCGUGAUUCAGCUGCACGGGCUGGUUGGAGGAGCUCUGCCUUUGGCUACCUGGGCUCUUCCCAAAUUCCUUUUGGUCUCUCCAACUUCAGAAAAAAGGAAUAAAGGGAAGGAGGGAGGACAGAGCCACAGCAGCCCAAAUCUGCCAUCCUUCCCUUCAUUUCAGAGGAAGUAAAAGGAGGAGAAGAGAGGCACUGAGAAAGUCACCUGGAAGAGGAAAAGGAAGGAGAGAACGUGGAAGAAACAUGCAAAAACACGAAAGCAUGAAAAACGGCAGAUAUGUUGAAAAGUUGGUGGAAAAUACCUCUGUCUGGAUGACUCCUCUGCUUCACUUCUUCACCUUCACUCUAAGCUGCACAAGGUCCACUCUGGAGAUUUGAACCACGAGUAACAAGACAGAUUGCUAGUCCUCUAGCUAUAGUGAGUACCACUUAAUAGUUACUGCAUAUUCAAUCAGCAAAUAUUUUACUGGGCACUUACUUUGUACCGGGUAUACCCUCUGGGCCCUAAGGAUAAAUAAUGAUUAAACAAAGUCCCUGACCUUGUGGAGUUGGGGAAAUUAGUGUAGAGGACUGAAAAUAGUUAAAUGAGGAAAGGCUUACUGUAACUUCAGCCGCAGAUGAGCUAGGACAUAGCUCAGAGAAUGAUGGGGAAGAAGGUAGGGCUAUUUAGAUAAGUGAUCAAGGAAGGCAUCUCUGGUGAGGUGAUGCUUGGGCUGAAAUUCGAAUAAGUGGAGGGAGCAAGUCCAUGGCAGAUAUGGAAGAAGUGUGUCCUAUGCCAGGGAAGAGCAAGUGCACGGCCCCCCAGUGAGCCAUUCUGGAGCCACCCAAGCACUUCAUAUAUGUUUUAACAUCACUGUAACCUUUCCCCACUUUUGUUUUAUUUUGUUUUUGUUUAUUUUUCAAAAUGUGCAAUAUGCUUUAGCAAGGUACUCUUAGAAAGAACAUAAAAUAACAUUUUUCCUUAAGGUGCAAUCUUUGCUUUUCGGAAAAUGUAGACAAGGGAAUAUAUAUACUGUUGAAAGAUAUUUAGGUAUAAGAAAUGUCACAUUUCAUUCCUUUUAAAAAGUAAAUAUAACAGGUUCUUUCUCCAUAUUCCAAGUUCAAAAAGAAAUACAGUUCUACUCACUGUCCUUGGGUUUACUCUUAUAUGCUGGUUUCUACAGGAGUUUGAGGAUUCACACAGCACAGGCCACUUGGGGAAGUGGCUGCCUUUGGGUCAUCUGCUGAAAUGCUCUAACUUUAGACUUGCUCCCCACAACCUUUCUU
rnacentral:lncRNA from 13 species